GCGGAGAGUGCGCGGCGGAGAGGAGCGGGGAGUGAGAGAGGGCGGGGAGGCGGCGCCGCUUUUAUAUGGAGACUAGGCAGGGAGCCGGGAGGAGGAGGAAGAGGAGGAGGAAAGGACCACCCGGCACAUCCUCACGCGGUGGCUGCCUCCGCUCUUCCAGCCGUUGGCCCGGGGCUGAUGUCAUCUGCAGCAAAUCAUCUCGCCCGCGGCCCGGAAGCUGGAGGGACGAGGUGUGCGGACAAUGGUCGGGGCAGGGCCGCGAGCCAAGGGGCUGGGGCGCCCGCUGAGCUCCUGCUGCAGCCGUGAAGGGGGAAGACGCUCUCAACCUACACCACCCACCACGUACACACCCACUGCCCACUCCUCACCCUCACCCUGUCUGUGCAUGGGAAUGGGAUGAGUUUCCAUUUUCGGAGUGGGGGUCUUUUCUCUUGUUGGAGUUGCACUAGUCAGGCCUCUGCCUUGUGUGCUGUGUAUGAUGUAGCCAGGUUCUCAGGAACUGGGAUAGCCACAGUGGGCAGAUGCGGGGCUGUGGGUACCCCGCCUAGGAAGACGGAACCUGUCUUUUCUUUGACCUUGUGGCUUUAAGAAGACGAAUUUACUGAUAUUUACCAAUAUCAAUAUUUACCACCUUCACUUAAAGAAUACAUCAAAAAUGCAAAACUUAAGCCUACUAUUGUUCAGGCCUUGGAUUCUACUCUGGCAGGGCCAAGGAUGAAAAAGUACUGGCUUUGUGGUGCUCAUGGGAAAUGAGAGAAAUGCAGAUGUAUUAUAUUAGAUACCAAUUUCUUUCCUUAAUGUGCUGAACAGAUAGUAUCAGUAAUAACAAAGAAUAAAGAGAAGAUACUGUCUCUACUCAGCAGGGUUACAGUGACUAUAAUGUACUUUUCAGUUCCUUGGGGAACACACAAGCAAAAUUACCUCGUGACAAUGAUGUCUUUUAAAAUACCUGUAGCAUUGGGAAUUUUUAUUGCCUUUGUUUGUGUUUAGAAGAACUAAAAAAUGUGUUUUUUGUUUUUGUUUUUUUGUUUUUUUUUUUAAGGCAGCCUAUUUACAACCGUUUCUCACAAACAUACUGAAUAUAGCUUCUGUCCCAGAAAAGGGGAGGAGGGUGAGGAAAGAGCAAAAUGUGCAAACAUGGUAUCAUAGAAGACUGGGGAAUUCGAGCUUUAAGGAAGAGGAAUAGAUGGAAAUUAGUCAACAUAGCUUUAAUACUAGAAUGCCUGUUAGUAAAAUAUAGAUGAUAGAUAGAUAGAUAGAUAGAUAGAUAGAUAGAUAGAUAGAUAAUCACCUAGAUAUUCUUAAGAUUUCCAAAAUAACCCAGUGUCUUAGGUGUUAGCUGCCAUGACUUAUUGGUCAUGUACUCUUUGCUCUUAUAUCUUUCCUGACACCCUGGCAUGGGAGACAUGCUGGGCAGCCAAGGGCUGGGGGGUUCCAUCCAACAUGUCAAUCUGAUCAAUGCAGAAUGAAAAUACCGUCUGGCCCGCAGUAUUUGGGAUCUGUGACAGGAUCACUAGAGAGUUGCAUUCACCAGUAAUUAGAUGAAGUGUUUCCAACUAGCUGCAUUCACCAGUAACUAGAUGAAGUGUUUCCAGAUAAUAUUUUGGUUAAGAUAUUCAAUUGCUGUUCAAGAAGUAAGGCCAGCACCAAAGCCCAUAACUGGGGUGAGGGGCAGGAAAUAUGGUGAAGAGCACUGUUUUCUAAAGGUCAUCCGUUGGAUUCCAGCCUCAUCUAGUUUGUGUUUGGUUUUCCUUUCUUUGAACCAUUGUUACUUUUAUGUAUGUAAUAGUUUUCUUUUAUGCAGUUUAUUUCUUUUACUUAAAUUUAUUUUUAAAUGCAAUUCUAUGUUGCUGUAUAAAUGGAAACACUAAUAUCACUUAUUAAUAGAAAGUAUCCCUAAAAAUAUACACAAUGAAGAUAAGAUGUGAUCAAAUUCCUGCUACAUACUGUUAUGAUUUGCUCAAGACUCUGAGUCCAAGGCUCUCCUUUCUUGGUUGAAAACAGAGAUUGGCCAAGUGUUAGAGAGGUAUUAAAGAGAUACUAACACCUAACUGAGUUGUUCUCCAUGUUGCAACAGAAGAUUGGAUGAAAAUUAUAACAGAGCGCUUUCUUACUGUGUGUGUCUGUGCAAUUAAACACCAUGACCGUGACCACCUAAGUCAUCACCCACACUUUGAAAAAUAGAGGCAUAAUGGGAGAACACAGACUAGGGAUGCAGAAUACUACUUUACAGCUCGGUAACUUUGGCAAGUGACUUACUCUUUUUGAUCUUCCAUCUCCUUAUUUAAUGAGAAGAAGAACAUCUUUAUAACUGUUAAAGUAACUGUAAGAAAGAAGGAAAUGAUAGAAUGUGUAAGCACCUAAUACAGUGGCUGGGCAUAGUAAGCAAUCAAGGGAUGGUUGAUUCAUUGACCUGUUUUCUCCCAGUUACUAAGACAAUGGAGCAAAAGCAGUCUUAUAAAAUGUGCAAGUGAUACUGCUACAACACCUCUGAAACAAGAACAGAAUAUUACAUUAUUAUACUUCAAUACUAGAAAAGUAGCCCCUUCCCCUCUUCAUCCCAAGAAAAUGUAUACAGUUCUAAGGAGGAAAAAGGGGGAAAACUAACAUAUAAGAGCACCAAUAUUGCCAGCUGCUCAACUGACAUCACCUGGAUAUACCAAAGGCACCAGAAUCUUGACAUGCUCCAAACCCAAAUCAUCUUUUACCUCUAAACGGGAUCCUCUCUCAUUCUUGUUAUUUCAAUGAACCAUAACACCAUGUAUCCCAUGAUGCAAACCAAAACCUCACAAAUAUUUUGGACUCUCCCCUGACCCUUAGCCUCGUGUGCAAUCCAGCAUGGAGUCUGGUCAAUUUCACCUUCAGUAUCUCUUCAAUCCAUCCACGUUUCUCCAUUAUCACCAACCUAGUCCAAGCUAGCAUCAUUGUGAUAGGUACUAGUGUACCGGUUAGAAAAUGGGUUCUGGAGUCAGACUGCCUGGUUUUGAAUCCUAAUACCAUAAUUUAUUAGCUGUGUGGCCUUAAGCAAGGUGCUUAACCACUCUAUACCUUGGUUUUCUCAUUUGUAUAGUAGAGAUGAGUACCGACCUCAUGGACAGGAGGACAGUUUAAAUAUGCAAAUUACUUAAAACAGUGCCUUGCAUAUAAUGAGCACUUAAUAGGGAUUAGUUGUUUUUGGUAUGGGGUUAGUUGUUUUUGGCUGUUAUUGUUUAACAUUUUACUAUGGAAAAUUUCAAACAGAGAGAGUAUAAUGUAAGUAACACCCACAUACCCAUUAUCCCCAAUCCAUAGAUUUUUAUAGUUUGCUUCUUUAAAUCAAGAUUGAAAUAAUGUCUAUAUAUUUCAACUGAUUCAUCAGUCUUAAACUCCUUUGAUCUAUGUAAUCCUGCUAUUUUUUUCCUUGUAAUUUUCUGUUGAAUAGUGGCAACAUUGUUCAGCAGAGUUUCACAAAGCAUAAAUUUUGCCGAUUGCAUCACCUGUUGUGUUAUUUAACAUGUUCUUCUAUCUUCUGAAUUUUCUGAGAGAACUAAAGUCUUGAUCAGAUGCAGAUUUGAUAUUUUUUACAUGUAUACUUCAUAGGUAAUAUUGUGAUCUUCCAUCAGAAGGCACCUAAAGACUAGUUAACCCUCAUUCUGUGAUUUUAGCAGCUAUUGAUGAUCAUUACCUAGAUCCAUUAUUUCACUAUGGAUUGAAAAAAUGAUAAUAUUCUAAUUUUGUUAUUAUUUAUUUGACAGCUAGAAGACUUCUGUUAGGAGAAGCGUUAUCCUGUCAGUUGAUUACCCUGAGGUACGUUAUUAUUAUUGCUGUUUGACAGAUGAAAAACUGACAUGGAGAAAAGUUAGACAAUUCCUCCAAAUCACAAAGAUAAUGCCUAGAUCUAGAAGCCAAACAGAUGGGUUGAAGGUGAUACCUAAUUUUAACAUUUGAUGACUCCUGCCAAAUUACCCUCUGAAAAGAAUUUAACAAUUUAUAUUCCUUCCACAUCAUUGCCUCUUUCCCCACAUCAUAAUGUAAGUCUUCUUAUUUUUUACUCACCAAAGGGAGAGAAAUAUUUACUGUUUAAAACUGAGCACCUUUUAAACUGCUUUUCUUUCUUUAUUGGCUUAACUCUUCAAGAUGUGUCUUUUUUCUGAUUGGACUAUUGUUUUUAUCUUUACUGGCUUUUAGAAGCUCUUUAUAUAAUCUGGAUAAUAAGCUUUCGUCAUCAAUAUAUGUUGCAGAUAUUUCCUCUCAGUGUGUCAUCAGAUUUUGUAUUUAUGUCUAUUUAUUAUGUCUGUGACCAUACAAAUUAUUAAAUUUCUUAUAAGGUUAGGCUAAGCUUCUUUCUUUAUGAGUUAAUGGGGGUUGUCUGUCUUAGAAAGGAUCUCUCAUUCCAAACCUUAAAACUAUUCUCCUAAUAAUUUUAGAUUUGUUCAACUGAGAGAGUGCUUAACUCAGGAGAUCAAUAAAGGUUCAUAGAGGAAGAAGUAUUUGAAAUUGUCCUGGAAGAACAAUAUUUUUCAACAGGCAGAGAUGGAGAAAGGACAAUCUACAUGAACAGAACAGCAUGAGCAAAAAGAACUGGUUAGAGACUAUCCAUAGGAUAAAUUUCUAGCAAAUUGCUGAGUCCAGGAUAUGCAUGUUUGCAAUUUUGGAAGAUCUUAAAAACUUGCCUCCUAUAGGUGUUGUACCAGUAUAUACUUCUGCCAGUAAUAGAUGGGUGGGCUGCUGAUGCCUCAAAAUGUAAGUAUUUUCAAACUUUUAAAUUUUAGCCCAUUUAACAUAAUUUAAAAAUUAUGUCUCUGUGUGAUUUUAGUUCCAUUUCCCUUAUUAUAUAUAAGACUGAACAUCUUGGCAUAUGUUUAAGGGCCAUCUGCAUUUCCUUUUCUGUGCACUGUCAGCUUAUAUGCUUUGCCCAUUUUUUCUAGUAGAUGGUUAGUGUUUUUCUUAUUGAUUUGUAUAUAUUCUGUAUUACUCCUUUAUCACAUUGCCACAAAGAAAUGCCUGAGAUGGUGUCAUUUAUAGAGAAAAGAGGUUUAAUUGGCUCACAGUUCCACAGGCUAUACAGGAAGCAUGGCUGAGGAGG
rnacentral:lncRNA from 1 species